rnacentral:rRNA from 1 species
AGAUUCUCUUAGUAAUGGCGAAUGAACUGGGAUGAGCUCACCAUGGGAAUCGGGGUCCUCGACCUUGAAUUGUAGUCUUGAGACGCACUGCCAACAAAGGCGCAGGUGUAAGCCUCUUGGAAGAGAGCAUCGCAGAGGGUGAGAGUCCCGUCUGUCACCUGCAGCCCCUUGUGUACGGCAUGCGUUCUGAGAGUCACGUUCCUCGGGAUUGGAGCGCAAAUUGGGUGGUAAGUUUCACCUCAAGCUAAAUAUUGGUCCGAGACCGAUAGCAAACAAGUACCAUGAGGGAAAGGUGAAAAGGACUUUGAAAAGAGAGUUAAAAGUGCUUGAAAUUGCUGAAAGGGAAGCGAAUGGAACCAGUUCUGCUGGGCGAGAUUGUCGCAUGCCAAGGCCUCGUGCCGGCCGCAUGCGGUGCUUCUUGCCUUGUGUGUCAGCUGCGGUCCGAAGUCGGGGAAAACUCUGGGGACAUGGAUGCCAACCUCCGGGGGGGUGAAUGUGCCUGGCAAGACCCGUCCUCGGACCGUGAGCAGUGCUUCGGCAUGUUUGCGGUGCUGACGAAAUGCUUCUAUUCGACCCGUCUUGAAACACGGACCGAGGAGUCUAACAUGUGUGCGAGUUCACGGGUGUCAAACCUGCUUGCGCAAUGAAAGUGACUGCUGGGAUACUUGCACCAGCAACCGAUCUGUCAACCGAGAGAGAUUUGAGUUUGAGCAUACCUGUUAGGACCCGAAAGAUGGUGAACUAUGCUUGUGUAGGGCAAAGCCAGGGGAAACUCUGGUGGAGGCUCGUAGCGAUACUGACGUGCAAAUCGUUCGUCAAACAUGAGUAUAGGGGCGAAAGACUAAUCGAACCAUCUAGUAGCUGGUUCCCUCCGAAGUUUCCCUCAGGAUAGCUGGAGUUGAACAGUUUUAUCAGGUAAAGCGAAUGAUUAGAGGAAUCGGGGACGUGUUGUCCUCGACCUAUUCUCAAACUUUAAAUGGGUAAGAUCCAACAGUUGCUUAAUUGAACUGUUGGGGCAAAUGUGAACUCUAAGUGGGCCAUUUUUGGUAAGCAGAACUGGCGAUGAGGGAUGAACCUAACGUUGGGUUAAGGUGCUUAACUGCUCGCUCAUCAGAUACCAUAAAGGGUGUUGGUUCAUUUUAACAGCAGGACGGUGGUCAUGGAAGUCGAAAUCCGCUAAGGAGUGUGUAACAACUCACCUGCCGAAUGGACUAGCCCCGAAAAUGGAUGGCGCUCAAGCGGGUGACUGAUACCCAACCAUUGUUGCAAUUGUGCGGCAUCAAUGAGUAGGAGGGCAUGGGGGCCUGUGAUGAUGCUUU